rnacentral:rRNA from 1 species
GUAGGUGGCAAGCGUUGUCCGGAAUUAUUGGGCGUAAAGCGCGCGCAGGCGGUUCUUUAAGUCUGAUGUGAAAGCCCACGGCUCAACCGUGGAGGGUCAUUGGAAACUGGAGAACUUGAGUACAGAAGAGGAAAGCGGAAUUCCACGUGUAGCGGUGAAAUGCGUAGAGAUGUGGAGGAACACCAGCGGCGAAGGCGGCUUUCUGGUCUGUAACUGACGCUGAGGCGCGAAAGCGUGGGGGAGCAAACAGGAUUAGAUACCCUGGUAGUCCACGCCGUAAACGAUGAGUGCUAAGUGUUAGGGGGUUUCCGCCCCUUAGUGCUGCAGCUAACGCAUUAAGCACUCCGCCUGGGAGUACGGCCGCAGGCUG